CCUACGGGAGGCAGCAGUGGGGAAUCUUGCGCAAUGGGCGAAAGCCUGACGCAGCAACGCCGCGUGCGGGAAGAAGGCUUUCGGGCUGUAAACCGCUUUCAGCAGGAACGAAAAUGACGGUACCUGCAGAAGAAGGAGCGGCCAACUAUGUGCCAGCAGCCGCGGUGAUACAUAGGCUUCAAGCGUUGUCCGGAUUUAUUGGGCGUAAAGAGUUCGUAGGCGGUCGAGUAAGUCGGGUGUGAAAAUUCUGGGCUCAACCCAGAGACGCCACCCGAUACUGCUUGACUUGAGUUCGAUAGGGGAGUGGGGAAUUCCUAGUGUAGCGGUGAAAUGCGCAGAUAUUAGGAGGAACACCGGUGGCGAAGGCGCCACUCUGGAUCGAUACUGACGCUGAGGAACGAAAGCAUGGGUAGCAAACAGGAUUAGAUACCCUGGUAGUCCAUGCCGUAAACGGUGGGCACUAGGUGUGGGUUUCUAUUAACGAAAUCCGCGCGUCGCUAACGCAUUAAGUGCCCCGCCUGGGGAGUACGGUCGCAAGACUAAAACUUAAAUGAAUUGACGG
rnacentral:rRNA from 1 species